AUUGCUUCUUGACAUUUUGGCCAAGAUCAAGUGUAAUAUCUGUUUUUAUCAGUUUAAUAUCUAACAUGUCCUCUAUCAAAGGACAAUGUAAUAAACAGAUUUUUGUAAUAAGGAGUUGGAAUAGGAGCUUGCUCCAUCCAUUCCACACAUCGACCUAGUAUUCUAAUACCUUCAGGAAAGGUACACACACA
ensembl:snRNA U2 U2 spliceosomal RNA